UACGGAGGGAGCUAGCGUUGUUCGGAAUUACUGGGCGUAAAGCGCGCGUAGGCGGCUUUGUAAGUUAGAGGUGAAAAGCCCGGGGCUCAACCCCGGAACUGCCUUUAAGACUGCAUCGCUUGAAUCCAGGAGAGGUGAGUGGAAUUCCGAGUGUAGAGGUGAAAAUUCGUAGAUAUUCGGAAGAACACCAGUGGCGAAGGCGGCUCACUGGACUGGUAUUGACGCUGAUGUGCGAAAGCGUGGGGAGCAAACAGGG
rnacentral:rRNA from 1 species